rnacentral:rRNA from 1 species
AGCAGCCGCGGUAAUUCCAGCUCCAAUAGCGUAUAUUAAAGUUGUUGCAGUUAAAAAGCUCGUAGUUGAAUUUCGGGGUCAGUAGGUUGGUCAUGCCACUGGUAUGUACUGGUCUCACUGAUUCCUCCUUCCUGAUGAAUUGUAAUGCCAUUAAUUUGGUGUUGCAGGGAAUCUGGACUGUUACUUUGAAAAAAUUAGAGUGUUUAAAGCAGGCUAACGCCUGAAUACAUUAGCAUGGAAUAAUGAAAUAGGACGUUCGAUCCUAUUUUGUUGGUUUCUAGGAUUGACGUAAUGAUUAAUAGGGAUAGUUGGGGGCAUUAGUAUUCAAUUGUCAGAGGUGAAAUUCUUGGAUCGUCGCAAGACGGACUACUGCGAAAGCAUUUGCCAAGAAUGUUUUCAUCAAUCAAGAACGAAAGUCUGAGGUUCGAAGGCGAUCAGAUACCGCCCUAGUUCAGACCGUAAACGAUGCCAACUAGCGAUCCGAGGGCGUUAAUUUAUGACUCCUCGGGAAGCUUCCGGGAAACCAAAGUGUUUGGG